rnacentral:ncRNA from 2 species
AUUACAUUUAAAGCGCCUGAACACGUAUUUUAGUGUUGACGAGGAGGAGGUUUAUCGAAGUUUUCGGCGGAUGCCUCCCGGUCUGCCACGACCGUAAGGAAACCUACAAAACCGUUGAGUGAUCGGCGGGACAAAGGGGUUUCCGGUGGCUUAU